ACUCAAAGGAAUUGACGGGGGCCCGCACAAGCAGUGGAGUAUGUGGUUUAAUUCGAAGCAACGCGAAGAACCUUACCAGGGCUUGACAUGUACUAGACGAACUAAGAGAUUAGUUUUCCCUUCGGGGCUGGUACACAGGUGGUGCAUGGUUGUCGUCAGCUCGUGUCGUGAGAUGUUGGGUUAAGUCCCGCAACGAGCGCAACCCCUAUUGUUAGUUGCUAGCACGUUAAGGUGAGCACUCUAGCAAGACUGCCGGCGAUAAGUCGGAGGAAGGUGGGGAUGACGUCAAAUCAUCAUGCCCUUUAUGUCCUGGGCAACACACGUACUACAAUGGCUGUAACAGAGGGAAGCGAACCAGUGAUGGGGAGCAAAUCCCAAAAAAGCAGUCUUAGUUCGGAUUGUAGGCUGAAAUUCGCCUACAUGAAGUCGGAAUUGCUAGUAAUUGCAGGUCAGCAUACUGCAGUGAAUACGUUCCCGGGCCUUGUACACACCGCCCGU
rnacentral:rRNA from 1 species